rnacentral:rRNA from 1 species
AUUGAACGCUGGCGGCAUGCUUUACACAUGCAAGUCGAACGGUAACAGGCCGCAAGGUGCUGACGAGUGGCGAACGGGUGAGUAAUGCAUCGGAACGUGCCCAGUCGUGGGGGAUAACUACUCGCAAGAGUAGCUAAUACCGCAUACGAUCUAUGGAUGAAAGCGGGGGACCGUAAGGCCUCGCGCGAUUGGAGCGGCCGAUGUCAGAUUAGGUAGUUGGUGGGGUAAAGGCUCACCAAGCCAACGAUCUGUAGCUGGUCUGAGAGGACGACCAGCCACACUGGAACUGAGACACGGCCCAGACUCCUACGGGAGGCAGCAGUGGGGAAUUUUGGACAAUGGGCGCAAGCCUGAUCCAGCAAUGCCGCGUGCAGGAAGAAGGCCUUCGGGUUGUAAACUGCUUUUGUACGGAACGAAACGGCUCUGGUUAAUACCCGGGGCUAAUGACGGUACCGUAAGAAUAAGCACCGGCUAACUACGUG